CGCCGCGGCCCAACUUGACCGGAGUUGAGGUCCUGAGCGCCUGCCCCCGAGCAGCCGGCCCGCGGAGAGCUCUGCGCCGCCACCCCAGGCUUCCAGGAUGGAGGAACUGAAGCUGACAAACAGCAAGUUAGAAGGUGGCAAGGAACUCCAGCACACCAAAGUGCCCCGCCCGUCCCGACCGCCGCCACAGCCGGAUACUUGCUGAGAACCUAGUAUUUUCCAGGCGUUGAUCAAGAGGUGUGUGUGAAGUGAUACAAAAAGUUAUGAACAUUCAUAUAAGGCAGUAGAAGAUGAUGGCACAACUGCUAGAGAAGUAAAGCUUGUUAUCCCGGAAGAGAAAUAGAAGCUGCCAUUUGCUUUCUCUCCACUGGCCACUGACCCUUGGAGAGGCAGUGUGGACAACAUGGACACUUGCUCACAACAGUGCCACUGGGACAUGUUAUCAGCUGCCACCAGGAGAGGAUAAUGGCCCUUCUGGUCCUGGAAUAUGUGGAAUUCACCUCAAAACACAGGCCCUGCUCUUCUGUCGUAGGACAGAUGGUUUUAAGGAACAGGAACCUCAUAGACCAGAAACCUUCCAGUCUAAGGUAAGCACCUUGUGAAAAACCUCAAUCUUGUUUCACUCUUUUGAUAAGUUUCAUGGUGAUUUUUCUUUUGACUUUGUUUCUUUGAAAAAGAAUAAGAAGUUAUUUCUGUUUCUACCCUAUUGAGUCCUGCAGCCUGAGAGUUGGGAGAUGUUGAACAUUUGAAGUAGCAUAGAUGAUGCUCAGAUAUCUUCACAUGGCAGAGGUGGAGUUCCUAGAGGUUGCAGUGGUUUCUCCAGAAUACACUGAAAUAAUACAAAUAUAAAACGUUUCAGGUUGUAUCAGGCAAUAUCAGCUUAUAUUAGGUACACUAUUAGCAGUUUGAAUCAAGCUUUGAGGAUUAAAUACUUAAGAAAGAUAUAAAUGUGAGAAAAAUUAAAACCAACAGUUUUUUUUUUCUUUAUGACAGUUGGGUAAACACCCCUUGUAAAUGCUAUCAGCAAAAUAUUUCAGUCAAGUUUCUAAAUGAGUGGAGGUUGAUAACCAUCCUUUGAGGCAAGGUCAAAAUGUUGACAUUUGAAGUGACCAGGAGCUCCAUUUCCACCAUGUGAAGAAACCAAAAAAGGUGAAAGUGACUGUGUUUGUACUUGGGACUGUCCAGAUAUGUUAUUUUCCUUCUUCUUGAGAGUAUGCAGGAUUGCACUGGGAAUCAGGUGUAGCCACUCAACCUGCCUUGCUCAGUGAGAUAGAAAUGAAAGUAACAGGUGUGCUGGAGAAGGCCUUGCACCAUGGGCCUCCCAUUGAGAUUGACUUGGAGCAGAGCUAAUAGUUAAUGCAUGGACUGAGAGAGGGGAAUGCGUGAGUCUUUAAAGCCACUGAGAUUUGAGGGUGGCUUUUCAAAUGUUAGUGUUCAUCAGAAUCUCCUGGAGGGCUUUUUAAACAGAUUGCUGAACCCACCUCCAGAGUUUCUGAUUUAGCUGAUGGCUGUAGGACCUGACGGUCUCUAACAAGCUGCCAGGUGAUGUCAGUGUUUCUGGUCCAGAGUACACACCUUGAAAACAACUGCUGUAGGUUUUCUUGACCCAGGCAGAGAGGGAUUCAGAAAGAAAAUAAUGAACAUCUGUUGGUGUUUUAUUAUAUGGUAGACAUUGUAUUUAUUUUUUUAUUGAAG
rnacentral:lncRNA from 9 species